rnacentral:rRNA from 1 species
GACGAACGCUGGCGGCGUGCUUAACACAUGCAAGUCGAACGGUGACGGUCAAGCUUGCUUGGUCUGAUCAGUGGCGAACGGGUGAGUAACACGUGAGUAACCUGCCCCAGACUCUGGGAUAACCCCGGGAAACCGGAGCUAAUACCGGAUAUGACCCUCGCAUGCAUGUGCAGGGGGUGGAAAGUUUUUCGGUCUGGGAUGGACUCGCGGCCUAUCAGCUUGUUGGUGAGGUAGUGGCUCACCAAGGCGACGACGGGUAGCCGGCCUGAGAGGGCGACCGGCCACACUGGGACUGAGACACGGCCCAGACUCCUACGGGAGGCAGCAGUGGGGAAUAUUGCACAAUGGGCGCAAGCCUGAUGCAGCAACGCCGCGUGAGGGACGACGGCCUUCGGGUUGUAAACCUCUUUUAGCAGGGAAGAAGCGAAAGUGACGGUACCUGCAGAAAAAGCACCGGCUAACUACGUGCCAGCCGCCGCUGUAAGAC